CGGCGGACGGGUGAGUAACGCGUGGGUAACCUGCCUCAUACAGGGGGAUAACAGUUGGAAACGGCUGCUAAUACCGCAUAAGCGCACAGUACCGCAUGGUACGGUGUGAAAAACUCCGGUGGUAUGAGAUGGACCCGCGUCUGAUUAGGUAGUUGGUGGGGUAACGGCUCACCAAGGCGACGAUCAGUAGCCGGCUUGAGAGAGUGAACGGCCACAUUGGGACUGAGACACGGCCCAAACUCCUACGGGAGGCAGCAUG
rnacentral:rRNA from 1 species